rnacentral:rRNA from 1 species
GUGAGGAAUUUUGCGCAAUGGGGGCAACCCUGACGCAGCGACGCCGCGUGGAGGACGAAGUCUUUCGGGAUGUAAACUCCUGUCAGUGGGGACGAUAAUGACGGUACCCACAGAGGAAGCACCGGCUAACUCCGUGCCAGCAGCCGCGGUAAGACGGAGGGUGCAAGCGUUGUUCGGAAUUACUGGGCGUAAAGCGUAUGUAGGCGGCAAGUUAAGUUCAAUGUUAAAGGCCACGGCUCAACCGAGGAGAUGCAUUGAAUACUGGCUAGCUAGAGGGUGUUAGAGGAAGACGGAAUUCCCAGUGUAGCGGUGAAAUGCGUAGAUAUUGGGAGGAACAUCGGUAGCGAAAGCGGUCUUCUGGGACAUACCUGACGCUGAGGUACGAAAGCGUGGGGAGCAAACGGGAUUAGAUACCCUUGUAGUCC